rnacentral:rRNA from 1 species
GAUGAACGCUAGCGGCAGGCUUAAUACAUGCAAGUCGAGGGGUAGUAAGAUUGUAGCAAUACAAUUGUUGACGACCGGCAAACGGGUGCGGAACACGUACACAACCUUCCUACAAGUGGGGAAUAGCCCAGAGAAAUUUGGAUCAAUACCCCGUAACAUAGCGAUGUGGCAUCACAUUGCUAUUAUAGCUUCGGCGCUUGUUGAUGGGUGUGCGGCUGAUUAGAUAGUUGGCGGGGUAACGGCCCACCAAGUCUACGAUCAGUAGCUGAUGUGAGAGCAUGAUCAGCCACACGGGCACUGAGACACGGGCCCGACUCCUACGGGAGGCAGCAGUAAGGAAUGUUGGACAAUGGACGCAAGUCUGAUCCAGCCAUGCCGCGUGAAGGAUUAAGGUCCUCUGGAUUGUAAACUUCUUUUAUAAGGGACGAAAAAAGGUCUUUCUAGAUCGUCUGACGGUACCUUAUGAAUAAGCACCGGCUAACUCCGUGCCAGCCGCCGCCGUAAAAC